UGGGGAUUCACCAAGUGGAUAAGGUAGCGGAAUUUGACUCCGCCAGUGCUUUAACAGGCCGUCGUCGGUUCGAAUCCGACAUCCCCAG
rnacentral:tRNA from 1 species